rnacentral:rRNA from 1 species
GGAACUGAGACACGGUCCAAACUCCUACGGGAGGCAGCAGUGAGGAAUAUUGGUCAAUGGACGAGAGUCUGAACCAGCCAAGUAGCGUGCAGGAUGACGGCCCUAUGGGUUGUAAACUGCUUUCAUAAGGGAAUAAAGUGAGUCUCGUGAGACUCUUUGCAUGUACCUUAUGAAUAAGGACCGGCUAAUUCCGUGCCAGCAGCCGCGGUAAUACGGAAGGUCCGGGCGUUAUCCGGAUUUAUUGGGUUUAAAGGGAGCGUAGGCCGGAGAUUAAGCGUGUUGUGAAAUGUAGACGCUCAACGUCUGCACUGCAGCGCGAACUGGUUUCCUUGAGUACGCACAAAGUGGGCGGAAUUCGUGGUGUAGCGGUGAAAUGCUUAGAUAUCACGAAGAACUCCGAUUGCGAAGGCAGCUCACUGGAGCGCAACUGACGCUGAAGCUCGAAAGUGCGGGUAUCGAACAGGAUUAGAUACCCUGGUAGUCCGCACGGUAAACGAUGGAUGCCCGCUGUUGGUCUGAAUAGGUCAGCGGCCAAGCGAAAGCAUUAAGCAUCCCACCUGGGGAGUACGCCGGCAACGGUGCAACUCAAAUGAAUUGACGGA